rnacentral:tRNA from 2 species
GGGGACGUGGUGAAAUGGCAUCAUGGGAAUCUCCAAAAUUCUUGUUCCGGGUUCGAAUCCUGGCGUCCCCGCCA